rnacentral:ncRNA from 1 species
CUAUGUUAUGGAUAUAACAUGGCGGAAGGAG